rnacentral:rRNA from 1 species
GGGUCAGCAAGUUGGUCGUGCCACUGGUAUGCACUGGCUUUGCUGAUUCCUCCUUCUUGUAGAACCGUAAUGCCAUUAAGUUGGUGUUGCGGGGAAACAGGACUGUUACUUUGAAAAAAUUAGAGUGUUUAAAGCAGGCUAACGCUUGAAUACAUUAGCAUGGAAUAAUGAAAUAGGAUGUUGAUCUUAUUUUGUUGGUUUCUAGGAUUGACGUA